AUACCCGCUGAACUUAAGACAUAUCAAUAAGCGGAGGAAAAGAAACCAACCGGGAUUACCUCAGUAACGGC
rnacentral:rRNA from 1 species